GACGAACGCUGGCGGCGUGCUUAACACAUGCAAGUCGAACGGAAAGGCCCUGCUUGCAGGGUACUCGAGUGGCGAACGGGUGAGUAACACGUGGGUGAUCUGCCCUGCACUUCGGGAUAAGCCUGGGAAACUGGGUCUAAUACCGGAUAGGAGCCAUUUUUAGUGUGAUGGUUGGAAAGUUUUUUCGGUGUAGGAUGAGCUCGCGGCCUAUCAGCUUGUUGGUGGGGUAAUGGCCUACCAAGGCGGCGACGGGUAGCCGGCCUGAGAGGGUGGACGGCCACAUUGGGACUGAGAUACGGCCCAGACUCCUACGGGGGGCAGCAGUGGGGAAUAUUGCACAAUGGGCGCAAGCCUGAUGCAGCGACGCCGCGUGGGGGAUGACGGCCUUCGGGUUGUAAACUCCUUUCGCUAGGGACGAAGCUUUUUGUGACGGUACCUAGAUAAGAAGCACCGGCUAACUACGU
rnacentral:rRNA from 1 species